rnacentral:pre_miRNA from 1 species
AGGGGGCAGCACCGGAUCUUUGGCUGUGUCCCCCAGCGCCCUGGGCUCUGGGGCCUGUGUCACUGGAAUCGCUCCCAGGGCCACGCAGCUCCCU